UGUGGCUGGGGGUGAAAGGCCAAUCAAACCGGGAGAUAGCUGGUUCUCCCCGAAAGCUAUUUAGGUAGCGCCUCGUGAAUUCAUCUCCGGGGGUAGAGCACUGUUUCGGCAAGGGGGUCAUCCCGACUUACCAACCCGAUGCAAACUGCGAAUACCGGAGAAUGUUAUCACGGGAGACACACGGCGGGUGCUAACGUCCGUCGUGAAGAGGGAAACAACCCAGACCGCCAGCUAAGGUCCCAAAGUCAUGGUUAAGUGGGAAACGAUGUGGGAAGGCCCAGACAGCCAGGAUGUUGGCUUAGAAGCAGCCAUCAUUUAAAGAAAGCGUAAUAGCUCACUGGUCGAGUCGGCCUGCGCGGAAGAUGUAACGGGGCUAAACCAUGCACCGAAGCUGCGGCAGCGACGCUUAUGCGUUGUUGGGUAGGGGAGCGUUCUGUAAGCCUGCGAAGGUGUGCUGUGAGGCAUGCUGGAGGUAUCAGAAGUGCGAAUGCUGACAUAAGUAACGAUAAAGCGGGUGAAAAGCCCGCUCGCCGGAAGACCAAGGGUUCCUGUCCAACGUUAAUCGGGGCAGGGUGAGUCGACCCCUAAGGCGAGGCCGAAAGGCGUAGUCGAUGGGAAACAGGUUAAUAUUCCUGUACUUGGUGUUACUGCGAAGGGGGGACGGAGAAGGCUAUGUUGGCCGGGCGACGGUUGUCCCGGUUUAAGCGUGUAGGCUGGUUUUCCAGGCAAAUCCGGAAAAUCAAGGCUGAGGCGUGAUGACGAGGCACUACGGUGCUGAAGCAACAAAUGCCCUGCUUCCAGGAAAAGCCUCUAAGCAUCAGGUAACAUCAAAUCGUACCCCAAACCGACACAGGUGGUCAGGUAGAGAAUACCAAGGCGCUUGAGAGAACUCGGGUGAAGGAACUAGGCAAAAUGGUGCCGUAACUUCGGGAGAAGGCACGCUGAUAUGUAGGUGAAGUCCCUCGCGGAUGGAGCUGAAAUCAGUCGAAGAUACCAGCUGGCUGCAACUGUUUAUUAAAAACACAGCACUGUGCAAACACGAAAGUGGACGUAUACGGUGUGACGCCUGCCCGGUGCCGGAAGGUUAAUUGAUGGGGUCAGCGCAAGCGAAGCUCUUGAUCGAAGCCCCGGUAAACGGCGGCCGUAACUAUAACGGUCCUAAGGUAGCGAAAUUCCUUGUCGGGUAAGUUCCGACCUGCACGAAUGGCGUAAUGAUGGCCAGGCUGUCUCCACCCGAGACUCAGUGAAAUUGAACUCGCUGUGAAGAUGCAGUGUACCCGCGGCAAGACGGAAAGACCCCGUGAACCUUUACUAUAGCUUGACACUGAACAUUGAGCCUUGAUGUGUAGGAUAGGUGGGAGGCUUUGAAGUGUGGACGCCAGUCUGCAUGGAGCCGACCUUGAAAUACCACCCUUUAAUGUUUGAUGUUCUAACGUUGACCCGUGAUCCGGGUUGCGGACAGUGUCUGGUGGGUAGUUUGACUGGGGCGGUCUCCUCCUAAAGAGUAACGGAGGAGCACGAAGGUUGGCUAAUCCUGGUCGGACAUCAGGAGGUUAGUGCAAUGGCAUAAGCCAGCUUGACUGCGAGCGUGACGGCGCGAGCAGGUGCGAAAGCAGGUCAUAGUGAUCCGGUGGUUCUGAAUGGAAGGGCCAUCGCUCAACGGAUAAAAGGUACUCCGGGGAUAACAGGCUGAUACCGCCCAAGAGUUCAUAUCGACGGCGGUGUUUGGCACCUCGAUGUCGGCUCAUCACAUCCUGGGGCUGAAGUAGGUCCCAAGGGUAUGGCUGUUCGCCAUUUAAAGUGGUACGCGAGCUGGGUUUAGAACGUCGUGAGACAGUUCGGUCCCUAUCUGCCGUGGGCGCUGGAGAACUGAGGGGGGCUGCUCCUAGUACGAGAGGACCGGAGUGGACGCAUCACUGGUGUUCGGGUUGUCAUGCCAAUGGCACUGCCCGGUAGCUAAAUGCGGAAGAGAUAAGUGCUGAAAGCAUCUAAGCACGAAACUUGCCCCGAGAUGAGUUCUCCCUGACUCCUUGAGAGUCCUGAAGGAACGUUGAAGACGACGACGUUGAUAGGCCGGGUGUGUAAGCGCAGCGAUGCGUUGAGCUAACCGGUACUAAUGAACCGUGAGGCUUAACC
rnacentral:rRNA from 1 species